GCGUGUAUGAAACGAACAGCUAGAAGAGUUGGUGGAGGCUGAUCCUCACCUGAAGCAUCAGAGUCUGAGAGGUGAUCUUAUAGACGUUUGUAAGAGGCAUGGAUAUGAGUAUUUGAAAAUCUGAAGACUGAAGUUUCAAAAUCAACGGAUAAAGGGCUUAUGCCUGAAAUAUUGACUCUCCUGCUCCUCGGCAGCUGCCUGACCUGCUGUACUUUUCCAGCGCCACAUUUUUUUUGACUGACUCUCCAGUGUCUGCAGUCCUCACUUUGAUGUCAAUGUCUGACAGUCACUCAAUCCAUCAGGACAGCAACUGUUUUUGACUGUGAUUUCUGUGAGAGGGAUCAGUGCUUUUUGGUUCCUGUUUGAGUAUGUUUUCAGCAUCAGUGGGACUGGACGAGAGACCCCACUAUUGCAGUGCACUGUGCAUGGAGCCUGAAACAGUUAUACGGCCUGGGAAGGGGAUUUCACGGCAGGGAGGGGCUCUACACAUGUUUGUGAGCAGCUGAAGCUGUAGCCAUGUAGAAACCUGAGGAAUCCCGCCCUGUGGAGAAACCGUGGAAGUGUGGGGACUGUGGGAAAGGCUUCCGUGUCCCAUCUACCCUGGAGACUCAUUGGCGCAGUCACACCGGGGAGAAGCCAUUCCCCUGCACCGACUGCGGGAAGGCCUUGAGACAUUCCUCCCACCAGCUGGGCCACACGGUGGGGGAGGGGGUGGUGGGGAGUGGAAAAACCCUUCAGCUGCCCAGAGUGCAGGAAGGCCUUCAUGUUUUUCUCUGCCCUGUUGGCCCACCGGCGGGUCCACACGGGGGAAACGCCCUUCAGCUGCCCCAGACGUGGGAAGGCCUUCAGUGAUUCCUCCACCCUGCUGAGGCACCAGUGGGUCCACAUGAGGGAGAGGCCGUUCACCUGCUCUCAGUGCGGGAAGGGCUUCACCUACUCCUCCCACCUGUGGAAGCACCAGCGAGUUCACGUGCCAUCGCAGGGGGAUUGAAGGAGUGACGGCCGAGUCCCAUUAUCGAUUGGACUAUCAACCUGGAUCCGGGGACUCCCGGGUUCGAAUCCCGCCAUGACAGAUGGCAGAAUUGGUAUUCAGUCAGAAAUGUGGAGUUUGGAAUCUUAACGAUGAGACUGUUUCAGGGAGGGGGUGGUGCAGGGGGGAAAGCCCCCAUCUGAUUCCCUCUCUCCCUUGUUAGGGAAGGGAACCGCCAUUGUGGGAAAGGAUUCACUCAGUCGUUCCAGCUGCAUCCUUUACCCGGUCUGGCCUACACGUGACUCCAGACCCACAGCAGUCUGGUUGACUCUACACUGCCCUCCCUUCACUGGCAAAGGAGCGGGGAGAAACUUACUUGGAGACAGGGUAUGGGUUGAAAUUGCUGAGUGAGGCAAUACUUCCUCCGGGUUACGGCUGUACCAAGGAUCCAAUUACAAAGGGACAACUUGGUGCUGGCCAAUAGUAAAGACAGUGAGGGAGGGACAGGGGAGGUGUGGCGUGUGCACUUUCACCUUGAGCUGUUCAAAAAGCAACUUCUUUUUCUCUGCCUUUUUGCUGGGGGGAUCUGAAGCUGUAA